GAUGAACGCUAGCUACAGGCUUAACACAUGCAAGUCGAGGGGAAACGAUAUUGGAAGCUUGCUUCCGAUAGGCGUCGACCGGCGCACGGGUGAGUAACGCGUAUCCAACCUGCCCAUCACAUGGGGAUAACCUUGCGAAAGUAAGACUAAUACCCAAUGACGUCUCUAGAAGACAUCUGAAAGAGAUUAAAGAUUUAUCGGUGAUGGAUGGGGAUGCGUCUGAUCAGCUUGUUGGCGGGGUAACGGCCCACCAAGGCGACGAUCAGUAGGGGUUCUGGGAGGAAGGUCCCCCACGAUGGGACGGAGACGCGGUCCGAACGCCUACAGGAAGCAGCAGUGAGGAAUAUUGGUCAAUGGACGAGGUUCUGAACAAGCCAAGUAGCGUGCAGGAUGACGGCCCUAUGGGUUGUAAACUGCUUUUAAAAGGGAAUAAAGUGGGAGUCGUGACUCUUAUUGCAUGUACCUUAUAAAUAAGGACCGGCUAAUUCCGUGCCAGCCGCCGCAGUAA
rnacentral:rRNA from 1 species